AGGGAAAAGCUCAAAUUUAGAAUCUGGCAGUCUUUGAUUGUCCGAGUUGUAAUUUAGAGAAGUGUUAUCCGUGCUGGACCGUGUACAAGUCUCCUGGAAUGGAGCGUCAUAGAGGGUGAGAAUCCCGUCUUUGACACGGACUGCCAGUGCAUUGUGAUGCGCUCUCAAA
rnacentral:rRNA from 1 species